AUCUCCUCCCCCUCCUCCUGCAGUUACCCCUCCUCCUACUCCUGUAUCUCCUCCCACUCCUCCUCCUGCAACUCUUCCUCCUCCUCCUUCUAGUCCUCCUCCUCCUCCUUCUCCACUCAUCCUCAUUCUUGCUAGAAGGAAAAAGAUUUAUUUGUUUUUUAUUGAUACAUAAUAAUUACACAUAUUUGUGGGGGGGGUGUGCUAUUUUGAAAUUUUCCUUUCAGUCACUGUCAAGCACUUCUGGAGGUAAUGCCUCUUCUACAAAGUGCACAAUGGUCACUGCACACUCAAACAUCCCCCAGCCCCCUGCCCCCUGAAAGAAGGCCAUAUGGGUUAAGUGAUCUGAUCAAAGUCACUUGGUGCUAAUUAGAGAUGGAGCCGGGAUUUAAGGCCAGGCUCUCUGUCCCAGCUGCUUUCAUUGUGUAAACUAAACGCUGACUUGGCCUCUUUGUAUGUCACUCAAAAAACUCACUGGGAUGCACACCCUUUUAAAUGACAUCUUUUUCUUUUUAGAAUUGUUUCAUGUUGGAGAAAAUAACAUGGUUCUCAAGCCUUUCAACGGUCCUACAUCCACAAAAGGGGAAAGGGACACUGCACUGAAAUUAGAAUCUUCAACAACUUCUUCAGUCUUUCCUGUUGAAUUUCGUGAAACAUCGGAAUAUCAAUGAAGUAGAACAGGGGAUGUUUCCACAAGAUAUGAAGAUGACAGACAGUCUUACUCUCUGUUCACUGGAGAGUAGAGUUGGUAGCUUUCCAACUGGUAUGAUUUUAGGGGGUGCAAAUACGAACGCCUUGGGGAACCAGGAAGGAGCUAUCCGUGUGCAAGGCUGGCGUGGGUGAGGGUCAAGGGCAUGGGCACGUGGCCUCUCUGCACAUCAGGGCUGCUUCUCUGCUCUGCAUGACUGUCAUCAUAAGCAAGAGGGACCCAGGGAUCCAGGUCCUCUGAGUUUUCAAGGGAGGCCAAAGAAUUCUAGGUUUUAUGUUUAUGUUUUUAAAUGGGAAACCUCCUCAUUUUGAAAUGUUGCAGUGCUGUUGACAUGUUACUAAAUAAGGUUUGUGUUCUUAUGUUGUAGAAGGAAAAGUAAUGGUCUGCUGAAUAUUAUUAAAAGUUCUUAUGUAGGAUUUUGUAAAUCUCGAUAGUAUGAGAAAGAAUGAAUGUGAGAUAAGGAUUUGGUAUUAAAUAUUGAAAACUUCAGAAUAUGGAGGUCAUAUUACAGAGAUAAUAUGUAAAGAGACAUAAUAUGGUACAAUGGAAAGAACACUGCACAUGGGAUGAGAAUUACUCAGGACGUCCACAGACAAGGGCUUCAUUAGCCCUGCCUCAGUUUCUACAUCUGGAGAGCCAAAGAUUCGAUUCGCAAUCUAUCUAAGCUCUCUUCUAACCUUAGCCUUGGUGACACCCCUGGACCCACACUGAAAUCCAUCAGAGAUCCUCCAUUGGUGCUGAGCAGUUUUUGUUUCAUUCUGAAUGAUGGAGUUCUUUUCCAUUAGGCAACUUCAGGCAAGAAGAAGAAGAAGAUUGUAUCAGAGGUUCACAAAAUAAAGACAAAAGAAAUCAGGAAGGAGAGUUCUAGAAAGAGCCACCCUUUAGAAAAAUUCUGGUACACCUUCAUCUUCUCACCAUCAUGAUACCCCCAUUUUUGCUUCUGAGUCUUUAUAGAUCAUAAGCCAACUUCCUAUCAACAGUUAAGAAUCUUAACAACAGUUAGAAAUUCAGAAUCCUAGCAACACAGCCAUCUUCUGACUACUCACCAUGCACGAGGCACUGUGCCACUUACAAACAUUCAUAUUCUUCACAACAACCCCAAGCGACAGGUUUCUAGAGAACUGUUACUGUACACAUCUUGCAGAUAGGAGAACUGGGGCUGAGGAAAAGCCAUUUGUGCAAAUCCACACAGCGAGGAGGAGGCAGAUCACCCAGCACUGACUCCAUAGCCCUUGAUCUUAGUCACUCCCAAGAGGCUGAAACAUGUGGUACACCAUUUGGGCUCUGGGAAUCUGGCCUCAGUUUAAAUCCUGCGUCUGCCACACAGUGAAUGUCCUUGAAAAAGUAAUUUAACCUUUUUAAAGCCUCAGUUUUCUGACCUGUCAUUGAGAGGAUGAAGUAACUGCCACAAGUUUUGAGGAUUAGUGAGCUCUACAUAAGGAAUGUCAGGUACAUUAUAAGUGUUCAAUAAAUGGUGAUGAUUAUUGUCAUGAGUCAA